CGAGAAGCUUGGAAAUGACGCUUCGGUUGAUUUUCCAAGCGGACAGCGGCGGACGGGUGAGUAACGCGUAGGCAACCUGCCCCUGACAGAGGGAUAGCCAUUGGAAACGAUGAUUAAAACCUCAUGACACCGUAGUAGCACAUGCUACAUCGGUCAAAGAUUUAUCGGUCAGGGAUGGGCCUGCGUCUGAUUAACUGGUUGGUGAGGUAACGGCUCACCAAGGUGACGAUCAGUAGCCGACCUGAGAGGGUGAUCGGCCACAUUGGAACUGAGACACGGUCCAAACUUCUACGGAAGGCAGCAGUAGGGAAUCUUGCACAAUGGGCGAAAGCCUGAUGCAGCAACGCCGCGUGAAGGAUGAAGGCCUUCGGGUUGUAAACUUCUGUUCUAAGGGAAGAAAGAAAUGACGGUACCUUAGGAGCAAGCCCCGGCUAACUACGUGCCAGCAGCCGCGGUAAUACGUAGGGGGCAAGCGUUAUCCGGAAUUGAUUGGGCGUAAAGAGUGCGUAGGUGGUUACCUAAGCGCAAGGUUUAAAUUAGAGGCUCAACCUCUACAUGCCUUGCGAGCUGGGCUACUUGAGUGCAGGAGGGGAAAGCGGAAUUCCUAGUGUAGCGGUGAAAUGCGUAGAUAUUAGGAGGAACACCGGCGGCGAAGGCGGCUUUCUGGACUGUAACUGACACUGAGGCACGAAAGCGUGGGUAGCAAACAGGAUUAGAUACCCUGGUAGUCCACGCCGUAAACGAUGAGCACUAGGUGUUGGGUCCGUUAGGACUCAGUGCCGCAGUUAACGCAAUAAGUGCUCCGCCUGGGGAGUACGCUCGCAAGAGUAAAACUCAAAGGAAUUGACGGGGGACCGGCACAAGCAGCGGAGCAUGUGGUUUAGUUCGAGCAACGCGAAGACUACCAGGGCUUGACAUCCUGCUGACAGUGCCUUAAUUCGGUUUUUUUCUUCGGAACAGCAGAAGACCAGGGUGGUGCCAUGGGUUCG
rnacentral:rRNA from 1 species